rnacentral:rRNA from 1 species
UACGAAGGGGGCUAGCGUUGCUCGGAAUCACUGGGCGUAAAGGGUGCGUAGGCGGGUCUUUUAAGUCAGGGGUGAAAUCCUGGAGCUCAACUCCAGAACUGCCUUUGAUACUGAGGAUCUUGAGUUCGGGAGAGGUGAGUGGAACUGCGAGUGUAGAGGUGAAAUUCGUAGAUAUUCGCAAGAACACCAGUGGCGAAGGCGGCUCACUGGCCCGAUACUGACGCUGAGGCACGAAAGCGUGGGGAGCAAACAGGGA